UUCGUUUUUUAGGAGCAGAGAAGUGUUUUGUUAAACUUACCUCUUGGAAUGGACUUUUGUUCCUAGGAACUGAGCUGCAAUAAAGAGAAACUGCACUGAAAAUGUCAUCCUUGGCUUCUUUUAUGGUGUCGCCAAAUCACCUUGGAAUCCUAUCUACAAACAGGAGAGGACUGGGAAUGCAGACAGCUACCUUACAUAGCAGAUGGAUGAAGACACACUUUCAAAGUAGAAAAAAGUCUCUUCUGGCUAAUAAAACCCACCUGUAGUAAUAGUAAUGUGCUUUUAACUAUAAACUCAAGAGUAUUGACAAAUGAACCUCUACAACUCAAAGAAACAUCUGCUUUAACACUCAUUCAAAUUUAGCUAUCCGUGUGUUUAUUAUAAAGACUGCGGAAGGAACGGCUGCAACUAGUAGUGGGCAGGAGGAGCAGAAGGAGCAGGGUCUGAUCUCAACUCUGUUCUAUGAAGCAGCCAGGCCUCCUGCUCCCCUUCCUUCUCUUGUUAAAUGACCGGCAAUGGUUUUCAUUCUGUAGUUCUGUGAGUCUGUGAUGGGCACACAGUUCCUACUCUAACUAACGCAGUAUAACAGUAAAAGAGCUACGUAACCCCAGCAAGUAGCUGACCUCACCCUGUUCCACUCUCCUGAUCUAUAAAAUGAGAGUAAGUACACAAUAAAUGUGCCUGCUGUUAUAGUUAUUGUCUAUAACAAAGCGUCAGAGUGUACAAAGACACACCAAGACCACAACAAAGCACCCUGAGUGUCCUUAACCUGUUGUUUUUGUCCUCUACAGUUUUACACUCACUUGUAUUGUGACCUUUAUCAUCCUUGGGCCAUCUUUUAGAAUAUACUGCUCAGAAUGAAGUAUUUUCUAAGACAACUGGUCAUGUGUGCACAGGAGCCUAGGACAUUUCCAGCUAUACAGAUUCUUCAGUAGAAGAAUCUUUUAAAGUUUCUCAUACCAUAUAAUUUUCCUGUAACUUUCAUAAGAGCAGCUGGACAUUUUCUGGUGUUUUAGUUUCCACAUGUGUGAAUUUAAAAAUUGUUUUUGCUGAUUUCCAUAGCCAUGUUUUAACAAUUACUGAAGGAGUCACACUGGUCUAAACAUUAUUUUCAUUUUUUUCAGGUCUGAAAUGCUCAGCCCCACUGCCAAGUCUACGGGCUUCAGACGGACCUGAAGUAAGGGUUGCGAUGGGCAGACUCAAGAGAACCAGGUCCUUGGUUGCCACGGCUAAACCAUGGUGACAGCUUUCUAAGUCACCGCUGGGAGCAGCCAGUGGUUAAAGAGCUUGGACAACUAUUUGCCAAGGAAAUGCUAAUAAUAUUUACACAUUGUUAAUCCAGCCAUCAACUUUGUUAUUUGCUUGUUUGGACCAAGGGAAUUUAGUGCCAUCUGAAAUAUUCACAAGUUUUACUAAGUAAUUUUCUCCUAAUUUAAUUUCCUUAAAUUGGUCUGCUUCUCUUACAUUAUUGAUGGUCACCUGGUUUUUCUUUAUUUAUGAAAAUGUGUUCUUUAGAAUGUACUAACAUUAAACAUGUAAGAUUUAGUAUAUAUUUAAUUCAGAUGACGACUAGUCAGAAUGGUUGAAUCACCAUUUGUGAUAAAGGCUACACGAUGCCACUGAGAAUAUGCUUCUCUUUGCUCCCCUCACAAGUUGUGUUCAACAACACUGAGUCAGCCUGGAUUUAUCACCUUUUGUAUCGGUUGGUCUGGUACAUCCAAGAAUUAAUAGAAUGUAAAUGCUACUUACGGGGUUUGACUUCAUCUCCAUGAGAUUGUCUAAAAUCCGAGUAACAGGUAGAUUCUGUGGAAGACAUUAGUGCGGUUAAAUACUAGAAUAACAACUUGCUCAGUCUAUAAAUGUGAUUACCUUUCAAUCAAACAAAUGCUAAGUUUAUGUGCACAGUUAGCAUGUCAGAGGUAAAUAACCUUAGCACUCAGAGUUCCCCUGAAAAUACAACCGUGUAAAAGCUCCUUCUGACCCCUGAUCUCCACACACUGCAUGCUGUGGCUCUCCCUGCCACACACACAACACAGAAGCAACUUUCAAAGAAAUUCCGGGGCAAGGAAUCACUACAAAGCUGAAGACUUUCUUGUCCCCUUCCUGCUUUACACUCAAGUCCCACUCACCUUUCUGACUGAAUGCACAUUAGAGCUGUACAGUACAGAAAGAAUAUGGAGAAAUAUAUGUAAUAAAUCAGGAAAAAACAAAGCAUUUCACUCUGAGAAUAAAUAGAAAUCGAGGCAUUUAAGCUGCAUUUUAUGAUAAAUCUUUGUGUACCAUAAGAGACAUUCAGGAAGGGUAAAAUUAAAUCUUGUUCUGUAUUUGAUAACCGUGCUACAAAUGAUGACAUGUUUGUCAACAAGUAAUGUUACAACUUGAGGAAUCUGUUGUAAAAUUGUUCAAGGUCUCACAGUUCUUUCUUGUUUUCCAUAGUUUCUACAAUCCAGUAAGAAGGACCAACUACUUCUGCUUCAUCCUUCAAUGUUUACAGAUGGCCAUAGGACUAAGGGAAGCCUCCAGCUGCAGAGAAUGAGGAAGGAAACAUCUUCCAAGAUAGAAGCCACAGUGCUUAUAAAAAUAAUGGAUAUCUGCCACCAACUGACACUCGACUAAGGUGUUAUUUUUGUGUAAAUGAAAGCUUGGGUUAAUAAUUUAAAAAGGAAGUCAGGAAUCUUGGCUUAUCCCUGUAAUCCCAGCACACUGUAGGCUAAAACAGGAGGACUACCAUGAGUUAGUGGCCACCCUGGGCUAGUGUGUGAGUCUUACCUCAAUAACCAAAGGGGGAAAAUUACAUACUAAAUCUCUUCAUAUAAGGUAAGUAAACUCUGUUGUAGUGUCCCCUCUGUUGCUGGGAUAAAUACUCUGACCAAAAACAACCAGGGGAAGAGGGUUUCUUUGGCUUAUACUUCCAAGUCGUAGAAGCUUAGCUAGAGGAGGCAGAACCCAUGGAGGAAUGCUGCUUGCUGGCUUGCUCACAGGUUCACUCUCAGCUGUCACACAGCCCAAAACCACCUGCCCACAGAUGGACAGUUCUACCCACAGUAGGCCUGGCCCUCCCACAUGAGUAAAGAGUCAAGAUAAUUUCUCACCGACAUGGCCACAGAUCCAUCUGACUGACAGUCUCUUAACUGAGACUCCCUGAGGCCCUAGGCUUUGUUAAAUAACAGAGACGCUAAAGCAGGACAAACUUUUACUGAAUGAAGAUUUGAAUAGCUGGCUGUGGUGGUGCACAACUUUAACCCCAGCAUUGAGGAGGCAGAGGCAAACAGAUCUCUGGGAGUUUCAGGCCAGCCUGGUCUACAUAGCGAUUUCCAAGGCAGCCAGGGAGACUUGAUUUCAAAAAGGGAAAAAACUGGAUUGUAGCCAUGUGAACGACAGCAGGUAGAAUGCAUCAGUCUCUAUGCAGAGAACUACUGUCACAGUUUAUAAACGUCAGUGAAGAAAGUCCAAACAAAAUUAGAUGAAAACGUCUAAGCCAAAUUGUCUCGGGGUUGGGGAUUUAGCUCAGUGGUAGAGCGCUUGCCUAGCAAGCGCAAGGUCCUGGGUUCGGUCCCCAGCUCCGAAAAAAAGAAAAAGAAAAAAAAAUUGUCUCUAUACUUAGACACAGGUGUUUAGAAAUAAAAUGGAAACACCAUAUAUUUUGCUUUGUUUUUGAGGCAGGAUUUCGCUACACAGCCCUGGCUGGCCUGGUACUUGCUGUGUGUGGACAUCUCUUGAGAGCCUGGGAAGUACAGAGACCCGCUGUCUCUGCCUCCUAGUCCUAGGAUUAAAGGCCUAGGCUAGGCAAUGCCUGGCAGAAAGCACUACAUAGACUCAAGCUGCAGGGUCCCAUGGACAAUAAAUCAUAAUUUACGAGUCAUCCUUUUUAAAUUCUGUUUCUAAAUAGGGAGAGAUUUUACCAGAAGAACAAAACUAUAUACUGGGAACUAUUUCCUAAGACUGUAUGAUUUUAGCCACUGGAAAGGUUUAAAAAAAAAUAAAAAACCCAAGUUGACCUCUUUACUGAUAUAAUUUUUGGAAAUAAGAUGUGCACAAAAUCAAAACCUAGAUACUAACACCGCACAGCUGCAGCAGAGGUCUCCAGGGUUGCCGACCGCUCUAUGGCGAGCAUCUCUACCUUCUCCUUUGUAGUUCUGGGUGUGGGAAGAUGCUCUGAUGCUGAUAACGGGAGGAGGACUGGAAGCAGGGUUGCUACUGUCCCAGUCAGUGUGUUGGAGUAGAGAUAGAAACUCACAGAGGCGAAGGGAUAAAUAUCAGUGUUUUCCAAUCUUGAAGAUUAUAGGCUAGAAGCAAAUCUACAGACUAAUUCCAGUGCUCAUGUAUGGACGAGGAAGCCAUAAAAUGUUAAGAAGUGACUUUCCUUUCCAAUCACAGUGUUAAGAAUGCUACCAAGAAAACCAACAGAAUGGGAUUAUAUGGGACCACCUCUAUCCCUCCACACCUAACUCCACAAGCUGCAAACUCAUGCAAAUCUUCCGUCCUCCCUAAGUAUUCCAACAAGCCUCUUACAUAGUCAUUAUAGACCACAGAUGAACUUUCAGUAGAUCUCCAAAUAAAUGUAACUGGGCAUUAGAAGGAAGCCUAUCAACACCUUAUUUCUACUCCUGCUCACUUUACUAAAGUAUGCUUGACAUUUAUACUGUUAAUGUACAAUAUACUGCUAUGAUGUCUAUUUAUACUGUGAAAUGAUUAUUAUACAAUAUUCAGAGUUCAAAUUUUCUGUUGCAUAGAAUUUUUAGUUUUCUUACAAAUAAUAAUCCUAAAUAGAGAUCAUACAUGGCAAUCGCAUUUGUCUUCCAGGAUGUUUUAAUUGGCUGUAUUUUAUUUAUUAAUAAUUCAUUUUUAAAGACAAAUUGCUUUGGUAGAUGAGUCAAAGACAGUGGGGAUUUCUAAAUUAUGCAAUUUUGUGCUUGUAUCAUCAUCAUAUUCUUAUAUAAUUAUCCUUAUGCAAGUGGAUUCAAGUCUAUAAAUAUUACUCAACUGGCUAUGUGAAGGUUGAUAUGUAGAAUGCAGAAAACUCAGGCUGCCCAUAAAACAAAAUACAAAAAGCUCUUAGUACCUAGAAAACUGAACAUUGGUUGUUCUAUUCUUUCUUAAUUUACUGGAUAAUUUAACUCUUGUCUGAUUAUUUAUAGCUUAAAAUGUUUAUUCUGAUAAAGACAUCCCAAAGCAAUCUUUAUAGAGCCACAGGCAGGAAAAGGUGACCUGGGAAUCCAAACAAAGGUGCAAAGAGAGAGGCAACUGCACACAUGCCCCAUAAUAUAAACCUAAACAAUUAAACACCCAAGCCACUCUUCAUAGAGGUAAGCAGUAGAAACUACAGUAUUCUAAGUUUGUGGCGGCUCAGUCUCUUUUGAGGACUCUUCCUGAAUGCCCCUAGAUACUGGGAAUCAGGAGAGUGCAGUGUCACAAUGGGCUGCUUAUGAGGGUUUUUCUAGAAUAGAAAAACUUUACACUGGAGAACAAUUUGGCAAUAUUUAUUAGGAGCAACUACAAAUGUCCAUACCUUCUGACUCUUGAGUAAAUUCUUAAUGCUAGGAAUUUACAGUGUGGGUUGGAGUGAUCAGAGAUGAAUACCCAUCCUGAAAAACCUGGCAUUUAAACCUGUGUCCAGACAAGCUCCUUGUUAAGACUACGGUUCUGACAGUGGCAGAAGAGUUAUAUAAAGAGGAGAAAUUCAAUUUCCACCACAGAGAAAUUUGAGUUUUACUUUUUUUUUUUUUUUAAUUUCUCAGACAGCAUUUCUUUAUGUAGCCCUGUCUAUCCGGGAAUUCACCCUUUAGAUCAGGCUGGCCUUGAACUCAAAAGAUCCACCUGACUCUGCCUCCUGAGUACUGAGAUUAAAGGUGUGUGCCACCACUGUUGGGCUCAAUUGUUACUGGUAAAAAGUAAUUACCUAUGCCAAAACAGAUUUCUUAACAGUUUCAAAUGUUAUGAAAAGCAAAGUAAUUUAAGGACAUAAAUGAUAAUUUUUGUAUUUCAUGAACUCUAAAACAAAUUUUUUGUUUUUAUAAUAAAAUACCUAAUAGCAAACCAA